rnacentral:rRNA from 1 species
GUGCAGCAGUCGAGAAACUUUACAAUGUGCGAAAGCACGAUAAGGGAGCUCUGAGUGCCUCCUAAGGAGGCUGUUCAGGUGUCUAAAAGCACCUGAAGGAAGGGCUGGGUAAGACCGGUGCCAGCCGCCGCGGUAACACCGGCAGCCCAAGUGGUAGCCACGUUUAUUGGGUCUAAAGCGUCCGUAGCCGGCUGGGUAAGUUCCUUGGGAAAUUUGGCUGCUUAACAGUCAAGCUUUCAGGGAAUACUGCCCGGCUUGGGGACCGGGAGAGGUCAGAGGUACUCCAGGGGUAGGGGUGAAAUCCAUUAAAUCCUUGGGGGACCACCGGUAGCGAAGGCGUCUGACCAGACCGGGUCCGACGGUGAGGGACGAAGGCUAGGGGCGCGAACCGGAUUAGAUACCCGCGUAGU